rnacentral:rRNA from 1 species
GACGAACGCUGGCGGCGUGCUUAACACAUGCAAGUCGAACGGAAAGGCCCUGCUUUUGUGGGGUGCUCGAGUGGCGAACGGGUGAGUAACACGUGAGUAACCUGCCCUUGACUUUGGGAUAACUUCAGGAAACUGGGGCUAAUACCGGAUAGGAGCUCCUGCUGCAUGGUGGGGGUUGGAAAGUUUCGGCGGUUGGGGAUGGACUCGCGGCUUAUCAGCUUGUUGGUGGGGUAGUGGCUUACCAAGGCUUUGACGGGUAGCCGGCCUGAGAGGGUGACCGGCCACAUUGGGACUGAGAUACGGCCCAGACUCCUACGGGAGGCAGCAGUGGGGAAUAUUGCAAAGUGGGCGGAAGCCUGAUGCAGCAACGCCGCGUGCGGGAUGACGGCCUUCGGGUUGUAAACCGCUUUCGCCUGUGACGAAGCGUGAGUGACGGUAAUGGGUAAAGAAGCACCGGCUAACUACGUG